rnacentral:misc_RNA from 1 species
GAUGAAGAACGUAGCGAAAUGCGAUAAGUAAUGUGAAUUGCAGAAUUCAGUGAAUCAUCGAAUCUUUGAACGCACAUUGCGCCCCCUGGUAUUCCGGGGGGCAUGCCUGUUCGAGCGUCAUUUCACCACUCAAGCCUCGCUUGGUAUUGGGCAACGCGGUCCGCCGCGUGCCUCAAAUCGACCGGCUGGGUCUUCUGUCCCCUAAGCGUUGUGGAAACUAUUCGCUAAAGGGUGUUCGGGAGGCUACGCCGUAAAACAACCCCAUUUCUAGGUUGACCUCGGAUCAGGUAGGGAUACCCGCUGAACUUAAGCAUAUCAAUAAGCGGAGGA